rnacentral:rRNA from 1 species
UACGGGGGGGGUAAGCGUUGUUCGGAAUUACUGGGCGUAAAGGGCUCGUAGGCGGCCAACUAAGUCAUACGUGAAAUCCCUCAGCUUAACUGGGGAACUGCGUGUGAUACUGGAUGGCUUGGAUUUGGGAGAGGGAUGCGGAAUUCCAGGUGUAGCGGUGAAAUGCGUAGAUAUCGGGAGGAACACCUAUGGCGAAGGCAGCUCGCUGGGACGUUACUGACGCUGAGACGCGAAAGCGUGGGGAGCAAACAGG